CACGUAGGGUGCGAGCGUUGUCCGGAAUUAUUGGGCGUAAAGAGCUCGUAGGCGGUGUGUCGCGUCGGCCGUGAAAACCUGCAGCUUAACUGUGGGCGUGCGGUCGAUACGGGCAUCACUGGAGUUCGGCAGGGGAGACUGGAAUUCCUGGUGUAGCGGUGAAAUGCGCAGAUAUCAGGAGGAACACCGGUGGCGAAGGCGGGUCUCUGGGCCGAUACUGACGCUGAGGAGCGAAAGCCAGGGGAGCAAACGGG
rnacentral:rRNA from 1 species